rnacentral:rRNA from 1 species
AGAGUUUGAUCCUGGCUCAGGAUGAACGCUAGCGGCAGGCUUAACACAUGCAAGUCGAGGGGCAGCACGAGGUAGCAAUACUUUGGUGGCGACCGGCGCACGGGUGCGUAACGCGUAUGCAACCUACCUUUAACAGGGGCAUAACACUGAGAAAUUGGUACUAAUUCCCCAUAACAUUCGAGAAGGCAUCUUCUUGGGUUAAAAACUCCGGUGGUUAAAGAUGGGCAUGCGUUGUAUUAGCUAGUUGGUGAGGUAACGGCUCACCAAGGCAACGAUACAUAGGGGGACUGAGAGGUUAACCCCCCACAUUGGUACUGAGACACGGACCAAACUCCUACGGGAGGCAGCAGUGAGGAAUAUUGGUCAAUGGACGCAAGUCUGAACCAGCCAUGCCGCGUGCAGGAAGACGGCUCUAUGAGUUGUAAACUGCUUUUGUACUAGGGUAAACGCUUCUACGUGUAGGAGUCUGAAAGUAUAGUACGAAUAAGGAUCGGCUAACUCCGUGCCAGCAGCCGCGGUAAUACGGAGGAUCCAAGCGUUAUCCGGAUUUAUUGGGUUUAAAGGGUGCGUAGGCGGUUUGAUAAGUUAGAGGUGAAAUACCGGGGCUCAACUCCGGAACUGCCUCUAAUACUGUUGAACUAGAGAGUAGUUGCGGUAGGCGGAAUGUAUGGUGUAGCGGUGAAAUGCUUAGAGAUCAUACAGAACACCGAUUGCGAAGGCAGCUUACCAAACUAUAUCUGACGUUGAGGCACGAAAGCGUGGGGAGCAAACAGGAUUAGAUACCCUGGUAGUCCACGCAGUAAACGAUGAUAACUCGUUGUCGGCGAUACACAGUCGGUGACUAAGCGAAAGCGAUAAGUUAUCCACCUGGGGAGUACGUUCGCAAGAAUGAAACUCAAAGGAAUUGACGGGGGCCCGCACAAGCGGAGGAACAUGUG